ensembl:lncRNA
AUUCAUGAAUUUGAGCCAGAUUAUAAAGGCUGAUACAGGCAAGUAUCCUUGGAUUUAAUGGCAGGUGUAAGGUUGAAAAUAUGUGAUUGCUUCUUUAGGGGUGAGAACUCAGGCUCUUUCCCUAUAACUCCAAUGGGGAUAAUUCCUUGUUAACAGAUGACUACUGGCUAAUGUCCUUAGAGUCUACUGUCAUUUAUUGAGUGGCACUGGUGGUCAGAUGCAGGGAUGAGUGGCGAGUACUCACUGAGCAUUGCUUUCGGGAAAAGUAGCCCUGGGGUUGAGGGACAGGCACUUGAAUGGCAGUUGUGGUGCAGCACAGCCAUUGUUCUGAUAACAUAGUCACCAUCAGAGGCUGUUCUGGAAAUGCCUGAUGAGCUGGCCUGCCACAUAUGGUUGUGUACCUUUCGCCCUGAACAAUUCUGAGAAGCCUCCUUUUUUUUUUUUUUUGGCUUUUUUUUGCGUUUUUAGGGCCACACCUGCAGCAUAUGGAGGUUUCCCAGGCUAGGGGUCUAAUCAGAGUUGUUGCUGCCAGCCUACGCCACAGCCACAGCAAUGCCAGAUCUGAGCUGUGUCUGCAACCUACACCACAGCUCACGGCAACGCCAGAUCCUCAACCCGCUGAGCAAGGCCAGGGAUCAAACCUGCAACCUCAUGGUUCCUAGUUGGAUUCGUUUCUGCUGUGCCACGAUGGGAACUCCUGUGAAUUUUAUUUUAAAAGCAUUUAAAAAAUAUGUUUAAGAAUUCGAGUGGUCAUCCAUAUUGUGUGAGGUUUGAGGGGUUGAGUUGGUGAUACUCUUUUUGCUAUCAAAAUUUGGAACUAAUUGGGAGAUUAAAGGAGCCAGGAGUUAUAGAGCUUGGAGAGUGUGGUUUAGAUGUGUGGCAACAGUAGCUUCCUGAGAUGGUAGCCCUGGAUUAGAUAGAGACAAUCCCUCUAGGCCCUAGAGAUGUUGAGCCAGCAGAGGCCUCACCUAGAAUGAGGCAAGUGUAAUCAGUUUACAUUUGGGUACCAUAUUGGACUCCUAGUUAAAAAGUUCAGUCGUCAAGUCCACAUCUGCCUCCUUGGUUCUUGGUUUUCAGUGAAAGACUCUCCUACCCUUCCAUUAUAUACUAAAUGGGCAUCUCUAUUCUGUAAAGACUGUCAGAAAGUAUGUGGUAUCUGGUUACCCAUAGAGAAAUGCUUUGCAGCACAGCAGUGAUGGGAAGAUUUUCCUGGUGUCUCACCCAAGAACUUCAUGGGACAGUAUAAUGAUUUUUCCAUGUCUUCUUUUUCCCAAGUAGAUAUCUAAGACCUAAAGUCGUUUUCUUCCUCAUGUUCUUAACCAUGGCUUUCCAUAUUUGUGGAUACUACUUAGAAUUGACAGUGCUUUUGAAUCACAUAAACUUGUUCCGUGUUGGUUUUAAUCAAAUCUUUGGAGUUUCAGCUGUUGAAGAAGAGGGGCAUUGGAUUAGAGGUUGAACUCUUGGCUGAUGGGCCUGAUUUUCACUAUUUUAGUGUCUCAGGCACUGAUGGCAGCAAGAUAGAAUUUUUGUCUUGAAGGGCUACAGACUCAGUUUAUUAAUUCAAGUCAACUUUUAUCGGAGUGGUAGUAUUCCCAGGUUGGCUGAUUGGUGAUUCAGAAAUUUUCUGUUGUACUGUCAAGAGUUAUCAGAUUGGGAGCAACUAGAGCUCUUCUACAUUACUUAGGGGCAGGGGUAUUGUUGCAAAAAUGGUAUAGUAGCUCUGGGAAAUGAUUUGAUCAAUUCUUAUGAAGUUAAACAUACAUUUGCCCAGUGACUGAGCAGUCCUACUCUGGGCAUUUGCCCUGGAAAAGUGAAAACAUGUUCAUAUAAAACCUGUUCAUGAAUGUUCAUAGCAUCCUUAUUUGUGAUAGCCAAGAGCUGAAAACAAACCAGAUGUCCCUCAACAGGUAAGUGGAUAAACACAUCAUGGUAUGUUCACACAGUGGAAUACUACUCAGCAGUAAAAAGGAAUGAAGUGUUAAUUCAUACUUGGGUGAAUCUUAAAGGUGUUAGGCUGAGUAAGAGAAGCCAGUCCCAAAAGGUCACAUACUAUAUGGUUCUGUUUAUUUAACCUUGAAAAUACAAAACUCUAGUAAUGGGAAACAAAUCAGUGAUUUCUGGUGUUACAGAUAGGGUGGAGGUAUAACUGUCAAGGGAUGUAGUACAAGAAAGUCUUCUUGGGAGUGAUAGAACUGUUUGGUAUCCUGAUCAUGCUGGUGCUUACAUGAAUCUAUGCUGUAGUGUAUACAGAAGUAGAAAUAUAAUGUUGUACAAAUGAAGCUUAUAUAAUAUUAUAAACCAAUGUGGCGGUAUUUUGGGAGCACUGGGUGCAGGUUCGAUCCCCGGUCCAGCCCAGUGGGUUAAUGAUCCAGUGUUGCCACAGUUUUGGCCUGCGUCGCAAUUGCAGCUCAGAUCUAAUCCCUGGCCUGGGAACUCCAUAUGCCACAGGACUGCCAAAAAUGAAAAAAAAAAAAUUAAAGAGUCAUAGAACUGUACCUUCAAAGGAAAAAGUCCAUUUUGUUGUUAAGACAAUUUUAAAAGUAAAAAAAAA